GACGUAGGGCGCGAGCGUUGUCCGGAUUUAUUGGGCGUAAAGAGCUUGUAGGCGGUUUGUCGCGUCUGCUGUGAAAUUUCGGGGCUCAACCUCGAACUUGCAGUGGGUACGGGCAGACUAGAGUGUGGUAGGGGAGACUGGAAUUCCUGGUGUAGCGGUGAAAUGCGCAGAUAUCAGGAGGAACACCGAUGGCGAAGGCAGGUCUCUGGGCCACUACUGACGCUGAGAAGCGAAAGCAUGGGGAGCGAACAGG
rnacentral:rRNA from 1 species